CAUAUAUUAGUUUUCGAAUAUCAAUCAAAUGUCAAUGUAAAUUUGCAAUUUAUAAAUAUAUCUAGAAAACUAAAAUGGUUCAGUAGAAAAUGCAUUAUAAAUGGAGAUAGCGUUCGAAAUAUGUUAGCGCCGUAAACGCGAUAGCGGACUUCCGGUAACGAACAUCCUCUUAUAAAUUUAUUUUUGAAUUUAUAAGACUACCAUUUUUUUUCUUAUAUUUGAACUAAAAAGAUAUUUAUAAAAACUUUUUUUUUAAUUUAGUAUAAUCUUACUUUUCAUACUGCGUGGUUCCAAAAAUAAACGAGAAAUUAAGUGAAGUAAAUGAGGUAUUAUUAAUUAUUAACAAUCAGAAAGGCAUAUGCAAAAUGAUUAAUAUGCAUAUGGAUGUAAAAGUUUAUCUUAUUAGUAUAAUAGUCGCUCAUGUUGCGGUGCGCCGUGUUCCAUUGGGAGCAUCCGUAAAGCUGUUAGAGGAGGAAGGAAUGGGAUCGUGAAACUUGUAACGUCACGCUAUAAAAAUGGUUAAAGAAUUUUAAUUUCUAUGACUAAAACAUUUUUAUUAUAAGAUAUUUAUGCGUAAUUAUUUCAAAAAUAAAGACCGAUGUAAUAUAUUUGGAGAUACGUUGGUUAUAAAAUAUGAGACAUCUAUUUCUAAGACGUGUAUAUACACGUUUAUCGAACACACAUUUAUGUUGUUUGAAGGUUUAUUUGGAAUUUAAAGAAUAUGUGAAUAAAGUACCAAUGCAAAGUAAUUCUUGUUUUCUACUAUUUUAUGUUUUUUUUUUUAUUUACAUAAAAUCGGAGAAAAAGUUUUUAAUUGAAAGGGAAGAAGAAUCUUCAAAUUUGUGAUGCCACAAUUAAAUGAGUCAUGCUUGAUGUGACAGAAAUAACGAAAGGGAAGAUGGAGUUAAAAAGUAUUCUACACAGGUUACACCCACAAUCUAUUGUAUUCUAAAUAGCGCGACAGUUUAUGGUUGCUCCCAUUCGGACGCAGUGCGUUCAUAAAUAGCAUCGCUUCAACUCGAAGCCUACAACUUCCGCGUUUAGCGAGCAAUAGCGAACUAAUAUUAGCGUGAGAAGUGUAUAUAAACUUGCAAAUAGGCGCCAUUUCGCCCUUUUGCAUGUAUAUAAAUUAGGAUAUAUACAAAUUGAUAUAGAACAAUAUAAUACAAAUUUGUAUAUUUAUUUUAUAUACGAAUAUGCUCAUUUGCAUAUACUGCAUUGAAUUUAAGCAUUGCCGGAUUUAAAGCUGUUUUCGAUUUACAUGGAAAUUCUUGGGACGAAUUAAUUGCGUAACUUGUGAAUAGUUUUAUAAUAAAAAUUGAAUACAACAUGUGAAAAUUAUUAUUUUUUUAAAUACAUC
rnacentral:lncRNA from 1 species